rnacentral:rRNA from 1 species
GACGAACGCUGGCGGCGUGCUUAACACAUGCAAGUCGAACGGUGAAGCGCCUUCCUUUUUGGUGGGUGUGGAUGAGUGGCGAACGGGUGAGUAACACGUGAGUAACCUGCCCCCUUCUUCUGGAUAACCGCAUGAAAGUGUGGCUAAUACGGGAUAUUCUGGGUCUGGCGCAUGAUGGGUCUGGGAAAGAUAUUGUUUCGGUGGGGGAUGGGCUCGCGGCCUAUCAGCUUGUUGGUGGGGUGAUGGCCUACCAAGGCGGUGACGGGUAGCCGGCCUGAGAGGGUGGACGGUCACACUGGGACUGAGACACGGCCCAGACUCCUACGGGAGGCAGCAGUGGGGAAUAUUGCACAAUGGGCGCAAGCCUGAUGCAGCGACGCCGCGUGAGGGAUGGAGGCCUUCGGGUUGUGAACCUCUUUCGCCAGUGAAGCAGGCCUGCCUCGUUUGUGGGUGGGUUGACGGUAGCUGGAUAAGAAGCGCCGGCUAACUACGUG